AAUUCUCAAACCCUCUCAGCUGUGUUUAUGGCUUUGGGGGUUUGGAUUAUGGAGGUUCUGCGGGCCUUUCUAGGUCAGCUCCUCUGAAAUGCAUUAGUGGAACCGUUUGCGAUCCCAUCACAGGUGUGAUAAUUAUCUACACCAGUGGGUUGCUCUCUGUCUGUUCUGCUUCAAACUGUCCAAUUCUUGUGGACAAACUUAUACUGAAUGU
rnacentral:misc_RNA from 1 species